UAAAUAUCCUGGCAUAAGAGUAAAAUGAGUCAUGCUGUACGGCUCAUUGUUUUUGAUAGCACACAGAAAUAUAUUCACAAUAUGUUUGCACAAGUAUUAAUGUUUGAUUUCAAAAACCCCGCUCAGUGAUAUAUUUGUACAUAUAAUUACAAAACUAAAACUAAUUGUAAACAUUGAAUGUACACACAGCACAGAAACGGCUUUCUGUACAAUAAAGAUCCGUAGGUAAAUACCUGCCACUUCCUGGUUUUGCAUCCCUGCCCCACAAGGCUAUGCCCUGAUUUCCCCCGGCCCUAGCAGGGAACCACACAGCUCUACCUGCAACCGAGGCGGCAGGGGAGGCACGAGGCUGCUCUGUGGAGCACUUCUCUUGACUGCAUUUCACCUGCUACAAUAAAGUUAAAUACCUAUAUUUUCAGCACUCUAGCUUUAGUAUACAUUUCAGUUCAUCUAUGAAGUGUUAAAACUGUAACGUGUUGAAAGUAGCACAGCAUUUUGAAUCUAUAUUCCCCCUUGUGUAAGCAAAAGCUUCUAAAUCAACGACAAUUUUUCCUCAAUCUUCAUGACUGUAAGUUUCUUCUGUAACAGAAGCUACUUAUUGAUGUUCUAGUUCAGCGAAUUCCUGGAAGAAUUGUUUAUGCUGUCACCCAUCCUUCUGGACAGGUCUAAAGCCUUAGGGUUGCAAAAUAAAGCCUCUUGCAAAAUGUACUUUUAAAUGCAAAACAGUAAGUUUUACCCUACAGCGUCAUCAUGAGAAGAGGAAGGGAAAAAACCUACUGUCCUUAAAAAUACUGUUUAACUGAAAAUUGUGUGGCCAUCAUAUUGCAUCACUAUUCAGAAAUGUUAAUCUUCUACUGAGGUGUUUUAUGGCCAGUAACAACCUAAAGCCAGUCAAAACAGAAUUCGUGUUGUUUCUGUUGUCACCCUGGCUGUGGAGUUUCUUCUUUGCAAUUCUUGUAAAUUUACCAUCACAAUACCUACUGCUGUUUUUCCCUCCUUUUCUGGUCCUUUGCUUCAUAAAGAGAAGAAAUGAAUUAAACAGGCUCAACUGGAUAAACUAGCUCUUCCCACAAUACAGGAACAAACCCAGGCAGGAAGAGAAACUAGAUGAAUUAAAAUGGCAAAGCUAUUAACACGGAGUAGGUUGGGUGCCAAUGCAUAAAUGAUUACAGUUAUCUCAAGAGGUGAGAUUGGACUUUCAAAAGGCAUGAGAAACAAGCCUUUACACUAGCCACCAUACAGAUCAUUACUUCAAAAUUCAUGUAGCAAAUUAACGUGUAUUUUAAAAGAAACUGUAUAAGUUCUCUAAUCACUUCUAGCUAUGGCUAUUUAGAUGAAGGAUAGCAACACUGGGAAAGAAAUAUCUAUUUUAAGUUGGUGAUUCCUUAAAUUAGUAAGAUUACAAAUAAUCUUCCCAACUACUGGUCAUACAAAUGGCUUGGGGUCGCUAGAUGAACGCUGGUCUCUCAGUAUUAUUCAUGCACAUUGGCUUUAGAUGGUGGAAUUGCUUUGGAUGUAUACCAGAAUAACAAAAGCCAGAUCAAAAUUCAUUGAUGUCAAUGGAGAGUUUUAAUGUCAAAACGUUUUUGGACCAGGGGAAGUGAGUAAAAUGCUGGUCAGUACUACCAGACCUAUCGCUUUGACAGUUCACUUAAAACUGACGGCAAAACAUAUAGAAAAAUGUAACACAUUUUUCUGCAGAUUAAUGUCCACCGUGACCAAUGAAUCUAACAAGAAACUGAACCCUCAACGUACCACACAAUAUAACAUUCCCAUAACAAUUAAAAAAAUGCAGGCUGUGACAAUAACAACAUAUUUAUCAGGACACUUCAAAAGAUUUGCACUCUUGGAGCUUGUUCUCAUGCAAAUCAUUGGCCUCCCGUACAGCUUGUUGGUUUUCCCCGUUCAUAUAAAUCCUAACACCUGGAAAUGGGGCAUUUUGGCCUGGAUGUCCUGCCACCGCCUGCCAUGGAAGAUCUGAUUCAGCUUCCUCGUGCCCUGUUGCUCUCCUCAGUGAUCAAUGUGACCGGCAUUGCACAAACCACAACGUACGGACAGUUUUUACCACAAAACCCACGGUUUAAGCCUCACCCCUUUCCUUUGAGCUGCCUGAACACAGACCCCCUCCACACCACAACCAGCGGCACCACUGCAGGCGCAGUUUCGCAGGAUUCCUGUCACAAAUCUGUGCUGAAACUGUAGAGGAUGAAGUAUUUGCAGAGUUCAGCCAUAAGGAAUAGAUCGACGAGGUUAGGCACACAUACGCAAGUCCUUAUGGAAAUGGAUGUUUACGAGGCCUGGCUAACCACCUUGAUGACAGAGUCCUGCGUGCUGAUUAGCAGGUGGCUUUGAACAUCGGUCCAGAGACACGGAUCACGUACGUUGAUCAGAAGGGCACAGAAGGGGAACAGCAGAGGUGUUAAAUAUCAGAGUGGAGCAGAAUUGGGGAGAGCUGGUUGUGUUAUGCCUAGCUGUCUACUAGGAUGUCUGGAAGAGCUGUGUGAACUCCAUAUUCUAGGCUUUGGGGCAUGGAACAAAUGAAUGUCCACGUAUUCAUUUGUCUUUAUGUGCUAUCGAGCGAUCUAUGCAAACAGGGAGACUUGCCUACAAAAAUGCUGGUAUACAGUAGAAACAAAUAAAAAACAGUGUGGAAAAAGAAGCAAUGGUAAUUCUUUUUAAAGCUCUGAAACCAAAUAUCAAAGAUUACUUGUGAGGGCAUUUCCUGGAGACUUACGGCCACCUGACAUGUGGUCCCAAAGGGCCUUAGUGAUCACAAAUUCCUCAGGAAAUGUGCGCGCCUGCAAGGUCAUUGAAAAUAUUUUGGGUUUUGCCUUUUUCCGAGAAACUUGUGACUACACAGAGCAAAGAAGAAAUAGGGGAAAUAUCUCAGCCUAGCU